AACGAACGCUGGCGGCAUGCCUAACACAUGCAAGUCGAACGAGACCUUCGGGUCUAGUGGCGCACGGGUGCGUAACGCGUGGGAACCUGCCCUUAGGUUCGGAAUAACUCCCCGAAAGGGGUGCUAAUACCGGAUAAUGUCUUCGGACCAAAGAUUUAUCGCCUUUGGAUGGGCCCGCGUUGGAUUAGCUAGUUGGUAGGGUAAAAGCCUACCAAGGCGACGAUCCAUAGCUGGUCUGAGAGGAUGAUCAGCCACACUGGGACUGAGACACGGCCCAGACUCCUACGGGAGGCAGCAGUGGGGAAUAUUGGACAAUGGGCGAAAGCCUGAGCCAGCAAUGCCGCGUGAGUGAUGAAGGCCUUAGGGUUGUAAAGCUCUUUUACCCGGGAUGAUAAUGACAGUACCGGGAGAAUAAGCUCCGGCUAACUCCGU
rnacentral:rRNA from 1 species